rnacentral:rRNA from 1 species
UACAGAGGUCUCAAGCGUUGUUCGGAUUCAUUGGGCGUAAAGGGUGCGUAGGCGGCGCGACAAGUCAGGCGUGAAAGCCCCGGGCUCAACCCGGGAAUUGCGCUUGAUACUGUCGUGCUUGAGGCCGGGAGAGGAUGGCGGAAUUCCCAGUGUAGAGGUGAAAUUCGUAGAGAUCAUGAGGAAGACCAGUGGCGAAGGCGGGUCUCUGGACAGUUCCUGACACUGAGGCACGAAGGCCAGGGGAGCAAACGGG